rnacentral:rRNA from 1 species
AGGAUAAACGCUGGCGGCGUGCCUAACACAUGCAAGUCGAACGCGCUUUCGGGCUUCGGUGCGAGAGCGAGUGGCGGACGGGUGAGUAACACAUGGGUACCUACCUUGGAGUGAGGGAUACCGGCGAGAAAUCGCCGACAAUACCGCAUAGGCUUCUUCACAAGGGAAGCAAAGUGACGCGAGUCACGCUUUGAGAUGGGCCUGUGGCCGAUUAGCUAGUUGGGGGGGUAACGGCUUCCCAAGGCGACGAUCGGUAGCUGGUCUGAGAGGACGAUCAGCCACACUGGGAUUGAGAACGGCCCAGACUCCUACGGGGGGCAGCAGUGAGGAAUUUUCCGCAAUGGAGGCAACUCUGACGGAGCAACGCCGCGUGCAGGAGGAAGGUUUUCGGAUCGUAAACUGCUUUUCUCGGGGACGAGGCAAGGACGGUACCCGAGGAAGAAGCCCCGGCUAACUACGUGCCAGCAGCCGC